UUGGGGUAGUCAGCUUUAUAAGUGAAGAAAACAACAUUCGCUUUAGAACAGUGCCUUGGGUAAUUGCAAGCAUGAAGAACAUUCUGCUCAUUGGCUGUCUGUUGCUUAUGGUACCCUUUCUGUGGGGUCAGGAGUACAACCUUGGCGUAAUAGACAUAUGCUGGAGGAUUUUCCUGGAAGCAGCCUCCACCAUUGCGAACCGUGGCAUGCCCCUCAUCAAAGACCUGGUAAAGUGUACCAACUUCACGAACAGCGUUGAUCUGGAGAGCAUGGACGUACCGAUGCUCAUGAUAACGGGAUUCAGCUUCCUGCAACACGUGGCCAUGGCCACCGACUGCCUGUGGAACAUGACCGAUGCGGUGGCCCAGAUUCUAGAGCCCCAUUGGAGCAGGUAUUCCAGCUAUCAGUGCAGUUACAUUGGUGUUCCGCAAAGCUGCCUGCCCUUAGCGGGCUGAAGCGGACUGUUAUGGCAGCAUAUAAAAUGAGUUUUCAUGCAUGUCUUAUAUACUCCGUAGAGUUAAAAAAAAGUAAGACAGUUCUUUAAAUGAAUUUCCAGCAUGCAGUGCUUAAAACCCGCAUUAAUCCUGAGCUGUUUCUGGAUAUUAGCGAAUACCCAGUCGUACAGCCUCAAGCAGAUUGGCGUCUGCUCCCAGAUCUUCCUCGAGGCAACUUCAGACCUCACCAGCAAGGCUAUGCCCAUUGUGAAGACUAUGUUCGAGUGCAUCAGCUUCAAGACUUCGGAAAAUUUGGCAGCACUCGAUACCAGAACAUUCAAGGAUGUGGCCUCCAGGUUUCUGGGAGAGCUCGUCCAGAAUCCCUCGUGCCUUCUCGAUUUGGCCACCUCGAUAAAAAAAAUCUUGGGACAGCAUUUCGUGCGACUGAAGAACUAUAGAUGCAUGUACCUGGGUGUGGCGCCGUCCUGUAUACCCAAAGAUUUAUAAACAACAAAUGAAAGAGCAGCCUGUAUCUCGCAACGAGUUACGUGUACAUUGGUGAAACUGUGAAGCAUAUAAAAAGUACUUAGGUUCAUAUAAAAGCAGCUCAAACCAUGACAAUGCCGCACAGUUCUCUCAUACUACCCUCGGCAUGCAAAGAGUGAAGGUUUCACUGCUCCUCGGCUGUCUGCUUCUGUUUCAGUUCAGACCAACCGCAGGGCAGAAGAUCAACCUGAUCAAGGUAGGGAAUUGCGUUGAAGCGGGCCUGGAGCUGACGGCUAGCCUCGCCAUCCAGAUCAUGCCCAUGAUGAAAGAUCUGCUGCAGUGCGUGGGCUAUUUGCCCAAGAUCAGCACUGCCAGAGUGAAUAGGGUGCAGCUUCUGGUGAUCAUCUACCAGUUCGUCCAUAAAAUGUUGAUGGGCGAGCGUCUUCCCUGCCUGAUGAAUGCCUACAUGACGCUAUCGAGCGUCGUGGGUCCUUACUUGGAGAAGAUGAACUCCUUGCAAUGUUCCUAUUUGUUUGUGAAGCCACCUCUAUGUUGAGAAAUUCAGAAUAAAAAACGUUGCAUUUUAAAAGGAAAAAA